rnacentral:rRNA from 1 species
GUCUAUGGCCAUACCACCCUGAACUCGCCCGAUCUCAUCUGAUCUCGGAAGCUAAGCAGGGUCGGGCGUGGUUAGUACUUGGAUGGGAGAAGCUAAAGGAGCCCUAACCGGUUUGGCUC